rnacentral:rRNA from 1 species
CCCACUGCUAUCGGGAUGGGACUAAGACAUGCUAGUCGAGCGCUCUUAAGCCAUGAAAAGAGCGCGGCGCACAGCUCAGUAACGCGUGGCUAACCUGCCCUUGGGACAGGGACAACCCCGGGAAACUGGGGCUAAUACCUGACAGGCGAAGAAUCCUGGAAUGAAUCUCCACCCAAAAGACGCUUAAAUCACGCAUUAGGCGUUGCCCAAGGAUGGGGCCGCGUCCGAUCAGGUUGUUGGUGAGGUAAUGGCCCACCAAGCCUAUAACCGGUGCGGGCCGUGAGAGCGGGAGCCCGGAGAUGGGCACUGAGACAAGGGCCCAGGCCCUACGGGGCGCAGCAGUCGCGAAAACUUUGCAAUACACGAAAGUGUGACAGGGCCAUCCCGAGUGCCGUCCGCUGAGGAUGGCUUUUACCCAGUCUAGAAAGCUGGGAGAAUAAGGAGAGGGCAAGACUGGUGUCAGCCGCCGCGGUAAUACCAGCUCUCCGAGUGGUGUGGAUGUUUAUUGGGCCUAAAGCAUUCGUAGCCGGCUGGGCAAGUCCCCUGUUAAAUCCACCGAUUCAAUCGUUGGAUUGCGGGGGAUACUGUUCGGCUAGGGGACGAGAGAGGCCGACGGUAUUUCCGGGGUAGGGGUGAAAUCCUAUAAUCCCGGGAAGACCACCAGUGGCGAAGGCUGUCGGCUAGAACGCGCCCGACGGUGAGGGAUGAAAGCUGGGGGAGCGAACCGGAUUAGAUACCCGGGUAGUCCCAGCUGUAAACGAUGCAGGCUAGGUGUUUGGGCGGCCACGUGCCGCUCUAGUGCCGCAGGGAAGCUGUUAAGCCUGCCGCCUGGGGAGUACGGCCGCAAGGCUGAAACUUAA